GACGAACGCUGGCGGCGUGCUUAACACAUGCAAGUCGAACGAAGAGCGAUGGAAGCUUGCUUCUAUCAAUCUUAGUGGCGAACGGGUGAGUAACGCGUAAUCAACCUGCCCUUCAGAGGGGGACAACAGUUGGAAACGACUGCUAAUACCGCAUACGAUCCAAUCUCGGCAUCGGGACUGGAUGAAAGGUGGCCUCUAUUUAUAAGCUAUCACUGAAGGAGGGGAUUGCGUCUGAUUAGCUAGUUGGAGGGGUAACGGCCCACCAAGGCGAUGAUCAGUAGACGGUCUGAGAGGAGUAACGGCCGCAUUGAGACUGAGACACGGCCCAGACUCAUACGGGAGGCAGCGGUGGGGAAUCUUCCGCAAUGGACGAAAGUCUGACGGAGCAACGCCGCGUGAGUGAUGACGGCCUUCGGGUUGUGAAGCUCUGUUAAUCGGGAAGAAUGGUUCUUGUGCGAAUAGUGCGAGGAUUUGACGGUACCGGAAUAGAAAGCCACGGCUAACUACGUG
rnacentral:rRNA from 1 species